rnacentral:lncRNA from 1 species
AACUGCACCCAGCACAAGAAGAUAGUCUUGGGAAUACAGUCUGUCUUUGAAGUUGUCUUCUUCAUUCUUUGCUAUGACUUUAUUUUCCUCUUCUCAAAAGUGACAAUAUGGUAGUGCACUCCUUGGUAUGCCCUUGAUAGGUAAUGGGAAAGUCUGAAAGGUUUCCUUGAGAUCAGAGCUAAAAGGCUGUAUUAGAUCAAUAUAAUUUGCUUGCUUAAACAACAACCUUGAAUAUCCAACUCAUUCCAAUUCAACAUACAUCCAUUGGGUAUUUACCCUGAGGAGUUAACACAAGGCCCUGUACUAGAAAUUUCCAGUGUUAUUUAAUAAUUACAACAACCAUGAAAUGUAACAGCCCUACUUUAUAAAGGAAAACAAAACCAAAAACACCCAUACCCUCAGAGAGGGUAAUUUAUUUGCUGAAAGUCAAAGAAGCCACAUCAAACCCAAGCAUUCAAACUCCAAAAGUGCAGACUGACUGUGGAAUUCAAGGUCUCCCAAACACUGUCUCUCUACCUAUGCAUCUGCAAGGCCAGGUUGACAACUAUGCUUUUGUCCAACAUACAAGAGUUAGAAGACCACUUUUCCGUGUUUCUAUGUUACUUUCAAAAUUUCGAUUCAACCCUAGUUUCAAAUAAAAUUGUUUUGUUAACCUGUAGUUACUUUGACAUCCUACAAGCCUGGUCACGUGGAAGCAGAGCCCCAGAGUAGCUUGAGUUUCCAAUCUCCUCCUGCAAGGGAGUCAAAUAGGCAAAAGAAAAAUGCUAAGCCACCUUUUCAGAGUGUCUUUCUAAACCAUGAACACACAGCAACACAUGUCCAACAAAUGGAUAUUGUGCCA